UGGGAUGUAGCUCAGUGGCAAAGCGCAUACCCAGCAAGUAUGAUGACAUCCUGGGUUUGAUUCCCAGUACCAA
rnacentral:tRNA from 1 species